rnacentral:tRNA from 1 species
GCGGGUGUAGCUCAGUGGCUAGAGCAUCACGUUGCCAACGUGAGGGUCGUGAGUUCGAAUCUCAUCACCCGCUCCA